AUCAACAUGUUGCUGCUCUGGUCAUCGUGUUUUAGCAAUUACUGAGACUGACAACACAAGCGUUUCCUCUUGGAUCAGUGAUGCUGGAUGAUGGAUGGGUUGUUUUUACAACGCUCUGGGAGGAGGUUCAAUGAAGAAAUCGAAGAGAAAAUUCCAAACACAUUCUCUCAAAGCAGAUCAGCGUGGAAAAUCAAGACAGAUGUCAACGGUUUCUCUUCUGUAACUCCCAGACCCAACGCCUGCUUGUGUGUGUUUUUUUCCGCUCACUCCCUUCUACAAGUCCUGUUCCAGUCCCAGAGUUGGAUAAAAAAGCUCAGUUCUGGCGCAACAAGUCGUUCAUUCCAGCCGCGUCCCGGUUCUCACCCUGGAGGCGCACAAGCCGCUGAAGUAACGGUGCGCACAGGAGCUCCAGCAUCUGCUAAUGCCAUCACAGCGUUUGAUCUGAACCCAAUGCUCUCUCGCUCGCCACGUCUACGUGGCAGGUAUAGUUUGAUUAUGUAAAGAUACCAACAUCAGGCAUGCACAAGAAGAAAACAGACUUUCCUAUGGAUCACUAAGAGCUCAUAAGAAUCACGCAAUAGGAGCGUAAGGAAUGAAAUACUUACAGUGUCUUGCUUUCCAGUGGGUUUGGUGGUUUAGUUUACUCCCUGACUGGUUCCCUGGAUGUCCAACUCAAGUUUGACUGCCUGAAAUUCCUCCAAGAGACAACUCAUAGAGACCGUGCUGCUCUGCGCAACUCUCGUGUCAAAGUCGCAGCGGCGCAACAGAAGACUCCAAAUCCAGCCUGCAGCCAGAUGCAGAACCUCGGUGCGUCCUGCUCCGUCUCCGUGCCUCUCUGCGCUGGCGCGGCUCUCGCUCCUCUCUGACCGACCGACUGCCACACACCCCGCACAGGACGGGACCUUUGUCUGCGCAUGACGUCACACAAGCGUGCACACACACACACACACACACACACACACACACACUGCACAAAGAUGCUACAUUUUAAUCAGAUGUGUUCAUUUUGCUGGUUUAAAAAAAAUGUGCGUAAAAACAGCUUAACGCAUGAAAAGUGCAGUUUGUCCUCGAGUGUCUUAUCAGUGAAGACAGGUGACACUUUAUGGGCAACAAGUGCUUUUAUUUCCACCAGCUGACACACUUUUUUCACUCAUCUUAUGGAGGGGAAAAGAUAGCAUGCAAAAGUCCUCCAAGCAAAGAGAUUUCUUGAAGAGCUCGUUGUGGAGAGUUGUUCUUUCUCCCUCAGCGCCUAAUUGGAAACACAUUUUUUUGUUUCAGUAACUUGUUAAGAGAGAGACAGGAAGGGAGAGAAAGAAAGAAAAAGAGAAAGACGGAGGGGUGGAGUGAAGCAGGGAGACAGAGGCUCUCUAUAGACAUACUGUAUUCCUGACAAAUUAACCCUCUGCAUCAUAUGUUGGAAGUAUUUCCUCCAAGUCUGCUGCUGCUGCUGCUGUCCAAGUGAAGUUAAAGAAAAACCCUCUCAUGUGAAGUUUCUCAGGUUCUGAGAGGAAUUUGGGUGAGGACAGUCCUGUCUGCCAGCUCUGCACCAUCUGCGAACACUUAGCGAGGUGUUUGUCGUAAACCAACCGUUGAGGCUGUGGAAUGAGACGGAGCGUUAAAGCCACGAAACGCUGAAGAAUACAGCGUUUUCUGGUUUGUGUCAACAAACUGAAUGUGUCAUUUAGGUUUAAUGCAAUACGUUUAAUUUCCAAGUGAAGCACAGUAAUGUUGGUUCAUUACCUCCACAGGGAGACUGGAGCCUUGUGCACAGCGAAGGGAUCAGACCACUGAGGGCCAGAAAAGGCAACAAAUCAUUGAUUAAAUGAUUAAUUUAUUAAUUGUUCUGUAGGAUCAUUGUCGAAUAAAACAUGGUACAUCUUCUAA